rnacentral:rRNA from 1 species
CUCAGGAUGAACGCUAGCGGCGCGCUUAAUGCAUGCAAGUCGAGCGAUGAGGUCCUGCUUGCAGGACACAUCAGCGGCAGACGGGUGAGUAACACGUAAGUGACCUACCCCGAAGACGAGGAUAACGGGUGGAAACAUCCGCUAAUACUGGAUAGACUCUGGGGGUCGCACCGCAGAGUAAAGCUUCGGCGCUUCAGGAGGGGCUUGCGGCCUAUCAGCUAGUUGGUAGGGUAACGGCCUACCGAGGCAAAGACGGGUAGGGGGUGUGAGAGCACGACCCCCCACAAUGGCACUGAGACACGGGCCAUACUCCUACGGGAGGCAGCAGCAGGGAAUAUUGCACAAUGGACGGAAGUCUGAUGCAGCGACGCCGCGUGGAUGAUGAAGGCCCUCGGGUCGUAAAAUCCUUUUCAGGGGGACGAGGCAGGACGGUACCCUUGGAAUAAGCGUCGGCUAACUACGUGCCAGCAGCCGCGGUAAGACGUAGGACGCAAGCGUUAUCCGGAUUUACUGGGCGUAAAGCGUCUGUAGGCGGAUGGGUAAGUUGGGCGUGAAAGCUCCGUGCUCAACGCGGAGAGGUCGUUCAAUACUGCCGAUCUGGAGGUCAUCAGAGGGGCGUGGAAUUUCCGGUGUAGCGGUAAAAUGCGCAGAUAUCGGAAGGAACACCAGUGGCGAAAGCGGCGCCCUGGGGUGGACCUGACGCUGAGAGACGAAAGCUAGGGGAGCGAACAGGAUUAGAGACCCUGGUAGUCCUAGCUACAAACGAUGGAUGCUAGGUGUGGGGUCGAGAAGACUCCGUGCCGGAGCCAACGCGAUAAGCAUCCCGCCUGGGGACUACGGCCGCAAGGCUGAAACUCAAACGAAUUGACGGGGCCCCGCACAAGCAGCGGAGCGUGUGGUUCAAUUCGAUGCUACACGAAGAACCUUACCUGGGUUUGACAUGGAGGUGGUAGGGAAGCGAAAGCGGACCGACCCUUCGGGGAGCCUUCACAGGUGCUGCAUGGCUGUCGUCAGCUCGUGCCGUGAGGUGUCGGGUUAAGUCCCGUAACGAGCGCAACCCUUGCCCUUAGUUACAAGUGUCUAAGGGGACUGCCGGCGGUAAGCCGGAGGAAGGUGGGGAUGACGUCAAGUCAGCAUGGCCCUUAUAUCCAGGGCUACACACACGCUACAAUGGUCGGUACAAAGGGCAGCGAAGCCGCGAGGUGAAGCGAAUCCCAUCAAAGCCGAUCGUAGUUCGGAUUGCAGGCUGCAACUCGCCUGCAUGAAGCUGGAGUUGCUAGUAACCGCGCGUCAGCCAUAGUGCGGUGAAUACGUUCCCGGGGCUUGUACACACCGCCCGUCACGUCAUGGGAGUCGGUAACGCCUGAAGCCGGUGGCUCAACUCGCAAGAGGGAGUGCCGUCUAAGGCGGGGCUGGCAACUGGGACGAAGUCG